AUUGAACGCUGGCGGAAUGCUUUACACAUGCAAGUCGAACGGCAGCACGGACUUCGGUCUGGUGGCGAGUGGCGAACGGGUGAGUAAUGUAUCGGAACGUGCCCAGUCGUGGGGGAUAACGUAGUGAAAAUUACGCUAAUACCGCAUACGAUCUAUGGAUGAAAGCGGGGGAUCGCAAGACCUCGCGCGAUUGGAGCGGCCGAUAUCAGAUUAGGUAGUUGGUGGGGUAAAGGCCCACCAAGCCAACGAACUGUAGCUGGUCUGAGAGGACGACCAGCCACACUGGAACGGAGACACGGUCCAGAGUCCUACGGGAGGCAGCAGUGGGUAAUUUUGGACAAUGGGCGAAAGCCUGAUCCAGUCAUUCCGCGUGCAGGAUGAAGGCCCUCGCGUUGUAAACUGCUUUUGUACAGAACGAAAAGGUUUCUACUAAUACUAGGAGCUCAUGACGGUACUGUAAGAAUAAGCACCGGCUAACUACGUGCCAGCAGCCGCAGUAA
rnacentral:rRNA from 1 species